CCUUCUGUAUUUCCUCACAAGCUAAGAUUUGUCAAUUUUGUUUUGGAAGAUGUUGGAUGUGUCUAUUACAUGCGAUGGUGACAGGAUGCAUUGUUCGUGA